UGAAUACCUGAAAGGCAAGAAGACAUUAUGGAUUGCUAGAAUUGCACUGCUGGAGACCAUCACUUUGUCCUUUUGAAAAAUUUCUUUUACAUAAAUGAGUGAAAUUCAGUUUGGGAGACUAGGGUGGGACCCCUUCAAAGGAGAUUAUUUGAACAGUUAUUUCCAAGGCACUGACAAAAUGGAUUAUCAUUUACACAGAAACAUUCAAACACCGAUCAAGCACAAAUAUUUGACAUUUAAGAAGUCUUGUGAGGGAAAUUUAAAGGAACUGGCAUUAGCUGGCGAAAGCUAAUUUCAUUUCAAGUAAAUUGGGAUUAAUUAUUUUUAAAAGUGAUGGGUAGGGAGCAAAACAAACUGCUUCUCCUUUUUUCCAUUCUUUAAAUUUUGGUGUUGUUUCCUUGGCCUACCCUCCUUUCCUGCAAUAUCACCAUUUAAUUAUGCAGAUUAAGGUAAACUGAAUAAGCAAAAUCUUAAAGAAUAGUUUAGCAGAAAUUCUGUAUUUGCUUUAGAGAUGUUAUCUACUAUGUGUGCUGUUAAAUGAAGCCCUUCAAAAACAUUUCUUUUAGAGUUAAGCGGUAAGAGUUAAGUGUUUCUCUUGGAACCAUAGUGUAUUUUCUCCUCUUGGAUACAGAAUACCAUGGAACUAUAUUUUCCCUUUCCCUUUGCCACCAAAAAGCUCAAAAACAGAUUCUCUGCUUAACUAACUGCAGUGACUUAGUAAGAUCUUGUAGACUACAUAUGGACAUCCUAUUUUUUCAUUCUUAUCUUUGACUUCAUAUUUUAAUGCAUACUUUCCCUAGUUUGGUGUUUUAUUUCUAUUUUCUUUUAUUAUAGAUUAUAUAUAAUACAUAUAUACUAAAUUAUAUAUAAAUGUAAAAUAUCAUAUCAUAUAUAUGUUUAUUGCAAGUUAUCUCAAAUAAUACGGAGUACUAACAAAGAGCAGAUGAGAUGAUUGAGUUCCAGAGAGCUUCAUAGACUUGUCCAACAACUGAAAUGCUUUUCAAAGCUUUCCAGGUCAAAUGGUUGUCAGAACUCUACUCACUCUCUGGUCUUCAGGACUCAGCUCAGACAUCAGCAUUUCCGUAUUGUAUGUGCUCCAUUCCCAACUCCGGUUGACAAAAUACUCCAGCAUGGACACUGUUCUUAGCAGCCGAUUCAUGAGCUUUGUCAUCCUGAGGUAAAGAUCAGGUAGAAGCCAAUAUCAGCACACCACAGAUGGCUGCUUCCAUGCUACUCUAUAGGAUGUAGGACAAAUUAUUUUUUGAGAAAAGAGAAAAAAUUUCCCUCUUGCCCCCAUUUCUUCAUUAAAACAGAUUCUUUUUUUCUCUUUCCACAUAAUCUCCAUUGAAUAAAGGAAGGGGAUGAAACUAAUGGAGUCUGUUCUAUUAGGCAUUUUAAUACAAACAACCUCCUCCUCUUCCUCUGUACUACCUUCUCUUUCUCCAAAGUGGCAGAUAUUUUAAAAGCCGAGCCAGAUAUUGGAAAAUAGCUAGGUGAUCACCUACUGUGUGGCACAGUGCUGAUACUUUGAAAAAAAUACUACCUCAGCUAAUUCUCGUAUCUGUCAGAUAGGUAUUUAUCUGCAUUUUAUGAGGGGGUAGAAGAAGCUUAAGAUAGAUGAAGUGGCCAUGAUAAUAAUAAGUGUCAAAGGCAAAACUGCAACCCAGUUUUGACCACCCUCAAAAAGCUUAUGCUUUUAUGAUCUCACCACUCUGUCCCAUGACUUCAGAUGGCCCACAUCUUCCAGUCCUGUGGUCAGGACUUGGACCAGCUCUGCUGUGUGAACUUCUCAACUUUACAAUAAUUUAUCGAAAACUUUCAGAUGUGAUCUUAUUUGAUCCUCACAGUAGGAAUCUGUGAGGGAGUAAAGAUCUAUUAUUAUUUAUCUUCCUUAAUCUUACAGAAGGGUUAACAGCUUAAAGUUCACACAGCUACCGCUUAAACCUAGAUCUUCUGGCUACAGAUCACUUUGGCCUGUAGAACAUUUCUCUUAGGCCAGUUUUGCCAAUAGUGAUUACUGUAGUUGACCCAGUAAUGACUUAAACUGUGUCGGGAAUUUGGUCUUGUUUCUGGUCAGAUCCUAAUGACUUAUCAGGGACUUCUCUCAUUGUAUCAUGGGAAAUUCUUAGGCAGAGGGUAGACUCAUUAUUCCCUGGUACAAGCAUUACAGUAGCCUUCCAUUUAGCUAUUAUUAUUUAACAUUUUUGCUAUAGACUAUUUGUAUGCCCCUCCUCCCCAAAUUCAUAUAUUUAAACCUAUUCCCACCAAUGUGAUAGUAUUUGGAGAAGACUUGGGGAGGUGAUUAGUGCCUUUCUCUCUCCCUCGGACUUUCCAGCUUGUGAGGACACAGAGAGAGAGAGAGAAAGAGAGAGAGAUGGCUCUCUAGGAACCAGGAAGCAGGCCCUCAGCAGAUGCUGAAUCCACUAGCAUCUUGAUCUUACACUGCCCAGUCUCCAGAACUGUGAGAAAUAAACUGUUACUUGUAAGCCUCCCAGUCUAUGAUAUUCUGCUAUAGCAGACCAAAUGAAUGACCAUCUUUAUCCAUUCUACAAUUCUGAUGGAAUUGAUGUGAUUUUAAUAAAUUUAAUUUUUGAAAAU